AAUUUUAUUCAGUAGAAGUUCAAUUGCACAAAUGACCAAUGUUUUGAUUCAAUUGUGGAGAAGUCAACUGAGCAGAUUAAAAAGUUAACUUUUGAUUUCUCUUGUCAAAAUUGUAUUCCACAAGUCAAAUUUGGUCCAUGGUUGAGCGGACAAGUAUUCCCCUUAUACUUUUCAAAGUCAGGUGAAAUUCUAGUUAUCAGACUUUGGAUGUCACACUGAUUGUUAUGACAUCCAAUUCUGCACAGAAAGGGAUUAUGCAGAACUUAACAGUAAGUGCAGUAAAUAACACAAGUAAUUGUUCACCCAGUUCAGUCCAACAUGACCUACAUCUGGGGGCUACCAAGCCAGGGAGGAAAUCCACUAUUAGUAGUAUCUUGGACACUUUGACAUUUAUUAAUGUAAGCUGUUACUGGUAUAUGGUCAUUUUGAUCAUGUACAGGUCAGCAAAUUGUACAGUCUGCUUUCUGGAGAAACAGACUCAGCAUAUGGACCUUGAUGUCAAGCUGAAUGUCAUGACACUUCAUGCCUGACAGAUAUGCUAUAUUGUAGGUUGUUUUAGUUUUCUGUUUCAGCUUUUUCUCAGGCUAUUCUUCAGGAAGUCAACAGCUUAGAGAAAACAGGAAUACAACCAUCUACAUCAAUGAACCUAACAAAUAGCCUAUUUGUUAGUAACCUAAUGUUGAAUUUAUGGAACUUGAGUGACCUUAAAUUCAGGAGAAAUACAGUUGCUGCAAAAGCCCAGGUGCUGCAAUAUAAAAAGGAAGGCGUUCCUUCAUUCAGUUUGGGGAUUUUGAGGCGUGAAGAUUUUAUGUGUCCAUCAUACUUCCUGUUGUAAUUUUGUGAGUCUAGUAUUAGACGUAUCUUGUAAGCCAAGUCAUUAUCAAGUAGAUGAUUGCUUGGCCUAGGGUUCAUUGAGUUUUAAGUGUUGUGUCACUCAAAGCUUUUAAGCGUGAGUGCUGUGUUAUUUGAUUUAAGCUGUGAAGCAUAAUCAAGAGUUGUUUUGAAGUGUGACUUCAAAGUGUCUUUUAAUUACUACUGAGGUGAUUGAGGGGAGUGAGUAGGAACUCUGAUCUUUAGGUUAAGAUUGAAAUUGCAUUGGGUAGGGAUUAAGUGAUAAGUUGUAAACGGGUGAGUUUAGCUUUGAAUUGAUACGACUAAUAGUGGAUUUCCUCCCUGGCUUGGUAGCCCCCAGAUGUAGGUCAUGUUGGACUGAACUGGGUGAACAAUUACUUGUGUUAUUUACUGCACUUACUGUUAAGUUCUGCAUAAUCCCUGUCUGUGCAGAAUUGGAUGUCAUAACAACCAGUGUGACAUCCAAAGUCUGAUAACUAGAAUUUCAAUUGGCAUCAGAGCAGGCACCCUGCCUGUGAAGUUCUGGGUGAGAUCUAGGGAAGUUACUUUCUAGUACCAUGGACAAGGAUUUAGGACACUCAAACAGACCACCCAUGUUGGAUGGAUCUAAUUAUGAUGACUGGAAGCCUCGUAUGAUAGCCUUCUUAAGGUCUCUAGACAGCAAAGUCUGGAGAGCUGUCAACAAGGGAUGGGAACAUCCAACGAGGACUGAUGAAGAUGGAGUCAGUGUGCAGAUUCCUGAAGAAGAUUGGGACAAGGAACAAGAGGCAUUAGCUCUUGGAAAUUCCAAAGCCUUGAAUGCACUGUUCAAUGGAAUCACUAAGAACAUCUUCAGGCUGGUGCACCAUUGUGAACUAGCUAAGGAAGUCUGGGAUACCCUCAAGGUAACUCAUGAAGGUACUUCCAAGGUGAAGAUGUCCAAACUUCAGAUGUUGACAACCAAGUUUGAAAAUCUGAGGAUGAAAGAGGAUGAGACUAUUCAUGACUUUCACAUGAAUAUUCUUGAAAUUGCAAACACCUCUGGUGGACUAGGUGAGAAAAUGACUGAAGAGAAACUUGUAAGAAAGAUUCUCAGGUCCUUGCCUAAGAGGUUUGCUAUGAAGGUCACUGCCAUAGAGGAGGCUCAGGACAUCAGCAAUAUGAAGGUAGAUGAGCUCAUUGGUUCUCUCCAAACCUUUGAAAUGGGCUUAGGUGAGUAUGCUGAGAAGAAGAAAAGCAUAGCCUUUAUAUCUAAUGCUGAAGAGGAGUCAGAAGAAGGAUAUACUGGAGGUGAUGAAAGUAUAUCAGAAGCCUUAGCCAUGCUUGGGAGGCAAUUCAACAAGUUCAUGAAGAAGAUUGAUCAAAGAGGUAGACCUAAUGUCAAGAACAUCCCGUCUGACAUUAAGAAAAGAUCAACUUCUGAGGAGAAGUUCAACCAUGGGAAGGGAAUCCAGUGUCAUGGCUGUGAAGGGUAUGGACACGUCAGAGCUGAAUGCCCUACUUACCUCAAAUUGCAAAAUAAGGGGCUAGCUAUCACAUGGUCUGAAGGAGAUUCUGAAAGUGAAUCUGAAGGAGAAUCUGCCAAACAUGUCACUGCACUAACCAGUGUGUGUGUCUCUGAAGAUGACACAAGUGCAGAUGAGCUGACAUUUGAUGAACUUGCUGCAGCAUAUAAGAAGCUGUGUACCACCAGUGCAGAAGUGCGUGCACAAGGAGAAAAGCAGAAGAAACUCAUCAAGGAACUGGAAGAUGAGAGACAGAAGCAACUGUCUGCCAUAGAGGGGCUAAAUGAUGAGAUAGCCCUGCUGACCUCCAAGCUGAACCAGAUGACCAAAUCCAUCAGAAUGAUGAAUAAGGGAACUGACACCUUGGAAGAAAUCCUAAAGGUGGGACAGCAGUCUGGAACCAAAUCUGGGCUAGGAUUUGGAAAAAGAGCUGAACACAAACGCCCAAAGGCUAGAGUUCAGAAGUUCAAGCAGAUGUCAAAGCCAAUGUCUCAACAUCGAGGAGCUAGGAUGAAUGAUCAUCAGAAGAGAAUAUACCAGAAUUGGAGGUGUCACCACUGUGGCAGGCUUGGACAUAUAAAAGCCUUCUGCUACUGGAUUCAUGGCUUCCCUAACAGAGCCUCACAUGUCAGACCUAAGCAUAAAACACGUAAGCGAUGUGUUCCCAUUAAGAAGCAACAAUGGUAUGCUAGGAUAGCACACACUGCCCUAAGGGCUUCUUCCAGAGAAGACUGGUACUUUGACAGUGGAUGCUCAAGACAUAUGACUGGUAUGGAAAAUCUACUGGUAGAUAUUCAACCUCACACCACCAGCUAUGUGACUUUUGGUGAUGGUGCCAAAGGAAAAAUAAGAGGUGUGGGCAAACUGGACUGUUCUGGAGUGCCAAAACUGAACAAUGUGCUGUUAGUAAGAGGACUAACUGCAAACCUCAUCAGCAUAAGUCAGCUGUGUGAUCAAGGUUUUCAUGUUCAGUUUACUAAGGAGCUGUGCAUUGUGACAAAUGGUGACAAUCAGGAAGUUAUGAGAGGAACCAGGUCCAAAGACAACUGCUACCUGUGGGAACCUGAUCUCUCUAACUUUUCCACAACAUGCUCCUCAGCCAAGGAAGAACAGGAGGUGAAGCUGUGGCAUAGAAGACUUGGACAUCUCCACUUACGGGGAAUGAAGAAGAUCAUAUCCAAGGAAGCAGUCAGAGGAAUGCCAAAGCUUCUGAUUGAUGAAGGAAGAGUCUGUGGAGAAUGCCAAGUGGGCAAGCAAACCAAGAUGUCACACCCAAAGCUGGGACAUUCCACAACCUCCAGAGUUCUGGAACUGCUGCACAUGGACCUAAUGGGACCUAUGCAGGUUGAAAGUCUUGGUGGGAAGAAGUAUGCCUACGUGGUGGUUGAUGACCAUUCCAGAUACACGUGGAUAAGCUUCAUCAGAGAGAAGUCAGAUACAUUUGAUGUCUUCAAAGAUCUGUGCAUAAGACUUCAAAGGGAAAAGGACAGUUGUGUGGUCCGGAUUAGAAGUGAUCAUGGUACUGAAUUCAAGAAUUCCAAGUUUGAUGAGUUUUGCUCAUCUGAAGGAAUAAGCCAUGAGUUCUCCUCCCCUAUAACUCCUCAGCAGAAUGGAAUAGUUGAAAGAAAAAAUAGAACUAUUCAAGAAUCUGCCAGAGCAAUGAUUCAUGCAAAGAAGCUCCCUAUGCACUUUUGGGCUGAAGCAAUGAAUACCGCGUGCUAUGUUCACAACAGAGUCACCUUGAGAAAAGGAACCUCCUCCACUCUGUAUGAAAUAUGGAAGGGCAGAAAACCCACUGUGAAGUACUUUCAUAUUUUUGGAAGUAAAUGCUACAUUCUCACAGAUCGUGAACAGAGAAGGAAGCUAGAUCCCAAAAGUGAUGAAGGCGUAUUUCUGGGAUACUCCACUAACAGCAGAGCCUAUAGAGUGUUCAACUACAGGACCAAUGUCCUGAUGGAGUCCAUAAAUGUCAUUGUGGAUGAUAAAGAGGAAGGAACCGAUGUCAUGGAGGAUGUUGAAACAUUCCUUGACAGUCCAACUGACAGUCCAGUCAAGCCUGAAGAAGUACAGGAACCUUCUCCUGAAUGUGAAGUAGAAGCACCCACCAAAGUGCCAUCUAUCAGAAUUCAGAAAGACCACCCUAAGGAUCUUAUCAUAGGGGAUCCCACCAGUGGUGUAACUACCAGGUCAAGAGGAAUAAACUCAAAUUCCUGCUUUGUUUCCAAGGUUGAACCAAAGAAUGUGAAAGAAGCCCUGACUGAUGAAUACUGGAUCAUUGCCAUGCAAGAGGAACUCGAGCAGUUCACAAGGCAUGAAGUAUGGGAGCUGGUUCCAAGACCUGAAGGGUCCAACAUCAUUGGUACCAAGUGGAUCUACAAAAACAAAUCUGAUGAGAAAGGAGUAAUUACUAGAAAUAAAGCAAGACUAGUAGCUCAAGGAUACACUCAAGUUGAAGGAGUAGACUUUGAUGAGACAUUUGCUCCUGUGGCUAGACUUGAGUCCAUCAGAUUGCUGUUGGGGGUAGCAUGCAUCCUGAAGUUUAAGCUAUUCCAAAUGGAUGUGAAGAGUGCAUUCUUGAAUGGCUACCUGAAUGAAGAAGUCUAUGUGGAACAACCCAAAGGGUUCUGUGAUCCUAACCAACCUGAGCAUGUAUACAAGUUGAAGAAAGCCUUGUAUGGGUUGAAGCAAGCACCCAGAGCUUGGUAUGAAAGGUUAACCGAAUUUCUGACCUCAAAUGGAUACAGAAAGGGUGGCAUAGAUAAAACCUUGUUUGUGAAGGAUGAAGAAGGCAAAAUCAUGAUAGCUCAAAUCUAUGUUGAUGAUAUAGUCUUUGGUGGAAUGUCAGAACAAAUGGUUAAAAAAUUUGUUCACCAGAUGCAGUCUGAGUUUGAAAUGAGUCUAGUGGGAGAACUGACCUAUUUCCUUGGAAUGCAAGUAAACCAAAUGGAGGACUCUAUGUUUCUCUCCCAAAGCAAGUAUGCCAAGAACAUAGUUAAGAAGUUUGGUAUGGAUCAUGCCAGGCACAAGAGGACUCCUGCUCCUACUCAUCUGAAGUUAACCAAAGAUGAUGGAGGGCCUAGUGUUGAUCAAUGCCUGUACAGAAGCAUGAUAGGUAGUCUGCUGUAUCUAACUGCAAGUAGACCUGACAUUUCCUAUGCAGUUGGAGUGUGUGCCAGAUACCAAGCAGAGCCCAAGGUGAGCCACUUGAAUCAAGUCAAAAGGAUUCUCAAGUACAUCAAUGGGACGUGUGACUAUGGGAUGCUGUAUUCACAUGGGUCUGAGCCUGUCCUAUCUGGGUACUGUGAUGCUGAUUGGGCUGGAAGUGCUGAUGACAGAAAAAGCACAUCAGGUGGAUGUUUCUUCUUAGGAGAAAACCUCAUAUCGUGGUUCAGCAAGAAGCAGAACUGUGUCUCUCUGUCCACUGCAGAGGCUGAAUACAUAGCUGCUGGAAGCAGUUGCUCCCAACUGGUUUGGAUGAAACAAAUGCUCACUGAGUACAAUGUCACUCAAAAUGUUAUGACAUUGUUCUGUGAUAAUCUCAGUGCCAUCAACAUCUCCAAGAAUCCCAUCCAACAUAGCAGGACCAAACAUAUUGACAUUAGGCACCACUUCAUCAGAGAUCUGGUGGAAGACAAGGUGAUCACUUUGGAACAUGUAGCCACGGAUCUUCAACUGGCUGACAUAUUUACAAAGGCUCUGGAUGCUACUCAGUUUGAAAACUUAAGGAGCAAACUGGGAAUAUGUCUCUCUGAGACCUUAUAGCAACCACUGAUGUUUGGGAUAAAUUGUUUAAUAUCUCUGCCUAUUAAACAAUUUGUACUAGGCUAUGAUUGGUCAACAGAUCAUAGCUAUGCUGCUUGCAACAAGGGUGGAUACAAGAGGGUAAGGAGACACCCUACAGAGAGAAGGCCACUGUACCUGCAGGAGUUCAAGGAUGCUGUUCAUGCAGGAGUGGUUCUGGAUGUCAGAAACAAAAUCAUGGCAUCUGAUAUGGUGGUACCUACUGUAAAGCAAAAGUGGGUGAUCACUUGAUCGAAGCUGUGAAGCAAGAUCAAGUGGAUGUUAACUUGGUUGAAACUGUGAAGUAAAACCAAGUCUGGAACUCUGUCAUUGUGCUCUGACUAUGUUGUUGGCUUUGGCAACAUUUGUGACAAAAAGGGGGAGUAAUAACCACCAAUACCCCUGACAAACAGAGUGGGUCUCUACAACAGACUCUCAUGACAGAUCUGAAGAUUCCCCCCCUCCAGCUGAUGUUGAAGUUUAGGUGCAACUUCUAAUAUGUGUGUGCUGCUAUGUGAAGUUUUUGUUUAACUUCCAUGUGUGUGAGUGUGCUGCCACUCUGAGUGUAUUAGCUAGUAGUAUUCCGCUGCCAUGAACUCUGUUAUGGGGAUCAAAGUGUUUUAGCCAAAAAUUUGCCAAAGGGGGAGUUUGUAGGUGUUUAAUUGGCUGCAUUAUAUGGUAAAACACUAAUGUCUUGACUGAUGUCAUGACAUGUAUAUGUGACUACAUUGUAGUUACUGCAGGACUAGCUAACACAGGAUUAUUGAAUGCUGUGACAUUCAUACCUGUCAACAGAUACUAAGGAACAGAAGUUCUGUUAGAACUUAGUAUUCAUUUGCAGUCUGGUUAUCAAGGAAGAACCAGACCUGGCAUAAGGCCUACUGACUGAAUGUCAAACUGGAUGUUGUGACACUGCAUACUGUUAACAGAUACUAAGGAAUAGAACAGAGGAGUUCUGUUAGACUUAGUAUUUAAGUGCAGUCUGGUUUUCAAGGAAGAACCAGAUCUCGGCAUAAGGCCUACUGAUUGAAUGUCAAACUGGAUGUUAUGACACUUCUCAUUGAAGCAGCUGCUGAAGAUUAGACAGAGUGGUGUCUGUUAUACUUCAGCAUGUAACUUAGUUUGUUCUUCAAGAGAUAACAAAACUAACUUAAGGCAAAUGUGUAAUGUUAAGUUGGACACUUUGACAUUUAUUAAUGUAAGCUGUUACUGUAGUAUGGUCAUUUUGAUCAUGUACAGGUCAGCAAAUUGUACAGUCUGCUUUCUGGAAAACAGACUCAGCAUAUGGACCUUGAUGUCAAGCUGAAUGUCUGACAUUCAUGCCUACAGAUAUGGCUAUAUUGUAGGUUGUUAGUUUCUGUUUCAGCUUUUUCUCAGGCUAUUCUUCAGGAAGUCAACAGCUUAGAGAAAAAACAGGAAUCAACAACCAAUCUACAUUCAAUGAACUACAAAUAGCCUAUUUUAGUAUAAAAUGUUGAUAUGGAACUUCGGUGACCUUAGAAAUCCAGGCGAAGGUGCAGGGUCUGUCGAUCUUUCGGUGUUCAGUAAACGUCGAUCUUUUUUGUCCCCAAGUUAAUAACAGUCAAUGUCUAGUCGGACAUUCAAUAAAUCCUGUGUUAGCUAGUCCUGCAGUAACUACAAUGUAGUCACACAUACAUGUUAUGACAUCAGUCAAGACAUUAGUGUUUUACCAUAUAAUGCAGCCAAUUAAACACCUACAUCAGGGACUUUGAACUUCAUCGAGAUUUUCACAUUAGGAACCAAGCAAAGUU
rnacentral:lncRNA from 1 species